rnacentral:rRNA from 1 species
GAUAGGUUAAGUUAAUAAGGGCGCAUGGUGGAUGCCUUGGCACUAGAAGGCGAUGAAGGACGUGACUAACUACGAUAUGCCUCGGUUAGCUGUAAGUAAGCUUACCCGGGGGUUUCCGAAUGGGGCAACCCGAUCUUAAUGAUCAUCAUCUUUUUGAAUUCAUAGAUUAGAUGAAGCAAACGCUGUGAACUGAAACAUCUAAGUAGCAGUAGGAAAGUAAAGAAAUUUCGAUUCCGUCAGUAGCGGCGAGCGAACGCGGAAGAGCCCAAACCUGGAUGCUUGCAUCCAGGGGUUGUAGGACUGAUGUUGAGUUACAAAGGUAUAAGAUAGCAGAAACAGUUGGGAAGCUGUUCCAAAGAGGGUGACAGGCCCGUAUGCGAAAUCUUGUACUCUCUAAUCAGGAUCCUGAGUACGGCCCAGCACGUGAAAUUGGGUCGGAAUCUGGGAGGACCAUCUCCCAAGGCUAAAUACUAACUAGUGACCGAUAGCGAACAAGUACCGUGAGGGAAAGGUGAAAAGAACCCCGGAAGGGGAGUGAAAUAGUUCUUGAAACCGUGUGCUUACAAGAAGUUCGAGGCCGUUAAUGGCUGAGAGCGUGCUUUUUGUAGAAUGAACCGGAGAGUUACGAUUGCGUGCAAGGUUAAGGUGCAAAGACUGGAGCCGUAGCGAAAGCGAGUCUUAAUAGGGCGAAUCAGUACGUAGUUGUAGACCCGAAACCGAGUGACCUAUCCAUGGUCAGGUUGAAGGUGGGGUAAUACCUACUGGAGGACCGAACAAGUGGGUGUUAAAAAACCCUUUGAUGAACUGUGGAUAGC